GCCUACGGGGGGCAGCAGUAGGGAAUCUUCCACAAUGGACGAAAGCCUGAUGGAGCAACGCCGCGUGGGUGAAGAAGGUCUUCGGAUCGUAAAACCCUGUUGUUAGAGAAGAAAGUGCGUGAGAGUAACUGUUCACGUUUCGACGGUAUCUAACCAGAAAGCCACGGCUAACUACGUGCCAGCAGCCGCGGUAAUACGUAGGUGGCAAGCGUUAUCCGGAUUUAUUGGGCGUAAAGGGAACGCAGGCGGUCUUUUAAGUCUGAUGUGAAAGCCUUCGGCUUAACCGGAGUAGUGCAUUGGAACCU
rnacentral:rRNA from 1 species